GUCGACGCUGAAGCCGACAGCUUGCUGUUGGUGGAUGAGUGGCGAACGGGUGAGUAACACGUGAGUAACUUGCCCCUGAUUUCGGGAUAAGCCUGGGAAACUGGGUCUAAUACCGGAUACGACCACCUGACGCAUGUUGGGUGGUGGAAAGUUUUUCGAUCGGGGAUGGGCUCGCGGCCUAUCAGCUUGUUGGUGGGGUAAUGGCCUACCAAGGCGACGACGGGUAGCCGGCCUGAGAGGGCGACCGGCCACACUGGGACUGAGACACGGCCCAGACUCCUACGGGAGGCAGCAGUGGGGAAUAUUGCACAAUGGGGGAAACCCUGAUGCAGCGACGCAGCGUGCGGGAUGACGGCCUUCGGGUUGUAAACCGCUUUCAGCAGGGAAGAAGCGAAAGUGACGGUACCUGCAGAAGAAGUACCGGCUAACUACGUGCCAGCAGCCGCGGUAAUACGUAGGGUACGAGCGUUGUCCGGAAUUAUUGGGCGUAAAGAGCUCGUAGGUGGUUGGUCACGUCUGCUGUGGAAACGCAACGCUUAACGUUGCGCGUGCAGUGGGUACGGGCUGACUAGAGUGCAGUAGGGGAGUCUGGAAUUCCUGGUGUAGCGGUGAAAUGCGCAGAUAUCAGGAGGAACACCGGUGGCGAAGGCGGGACUCUGGGCUGUAACUGACACUGAGGAGCGAAAGCAUGGGGAGCGAACAGAAUUAGAUACCCUGGUAGUCCAUGCCGUAAACGU
rnacentral:rRNA from 1 species